AGAUCUGCUAGCAAUUAAGGAUUGAUUUCAUUGUCCAAGAGAUUUGGGGACUGAAAGCUUGGCAUCACAGGCUAUUUCAGGAUCCAGGAAAGUCGCUCAAGGCAAGAAGACCCAGAGACAGCAAGACUGAAACAAAAAGCAAAGGAGGUGCCUGCUUCCUAGAAGUGGCAGCUGUGCCUGACUAAUUGAGUUGCAGUAAACCCAGUUGUCCAGAAACAGUGAGAAUGCUUCUCAGGGCAGGAGCAAAAGGCCAGCAUUAGGAGAAGACCUGUUCUGGGGACAGUUAGACCCUGCUGCCCCAGCUCUCACCACAUCCCCCGUGAGGAUGCAUCUGGAAGGAGGAGGUAAGAAGGCUCUCGACAAGGCUGCACUCAGGCUGCUUACUCAGCCGAGAGUAAUGCUGCAGGGGGAGGGCA
rnacentral:lncRNA from 1 species